ACUACACGCCGUACGUUUCUGUCUCUUGCCGUUUUUAUGUCCGCUUAAGAAAAUUUCAAGUCUUGGCUUUAGAAAAGUUCAAGAAUUGGUGAUGUUUUCAUGGGCAAUGAAACAGCCGACGAUUGGAAGCGGAUAAUAUUUGAAGACGUACCUGAGCCUAAUUCACUGCCUUUCGAUCUUAGUGCCAAACAAGUGGAUAUUUGUCCACUAAAUCUUAGUGCUAAGCCAGUGGAUCUCAGUGCCAGCCGUCUUCGGUAUUCAGCCAGUCAACCAACUGAAACUCAGCUAGUCAACCUGUCCUCGGGCAACGCGCCUACUCCAUCGGCUACAUUAAACCUGCCUUCCGCUGGGGUUUUAAGGGUUGAUCGUUCAAAGUUUCGUGAUCUUUCAUCAGAACAUCAAUCCGGAUCGUCCAAAAAUUCCUUUUAAAAUUGGAAAUUGGGUUUCGCGGAACCGCUGUCAAACACAACUCGACAUACUGAUUGACGAGGCGCUCUGCCUGUACUCCAAAGAGGACGGCUACAAAAGAGCCAUGAAAGCAGAGAAAGAUGCACAAAACCAGAUAGCAUGGGAAAUGUCAGCGGAAUAGCCAACGUUAGAUAUGUGCAUGAGUAUAUUUAUGGGGGCUAUUUACCUUGGCCACAUUAACGACGCCAUUAGGUGGAUCCGGAUUGACAUACAAGACGCCAUUCUAUACAGACAGAUGAAGAAGCAUGUGCUUAUUCUUGAGCAACAAGAUGUAUCUGGUUUCCCUCGCCCGGAUCCCAACAGUAGUGGCCGUGCCGUUGUCAAUUCCACAACGUUAUUCCGCAUAAUGGUUGAGAAAGCCAACAGCGAAGGACUGGCCGGCAAACAGUUUAGUUGACAUUGUAGUCAUGUACUUUUACGACAGUUGUGACUUGUUUCUUCCAAAAUUUGUACAAGGGACGACACCAGUUUCGAUGGAAAAAUGCACUUGAAUGUUCGGAAA